rnacentral:rRNA from 1 species
UUGAUCCUGGCUCAGAAUCAACGCUGGCGGCGUGCCUAACACAUGCAAGUCGAACGCGAAAAUCCCGCAAGGGAUCAGUAGAGUGGCAAACGGGUGAGUUACACGUGGGUGACCUGCCUUCGAGUGGGGGAUAACGUCCCGAAAGGGACUCUAAUACCGCAUGACAUCCUGCCUUUGAACAGGCGGAGAUCAAAGCUGGUGAUCGCAAGACCUGGCGCUCAAAGAGGGGCCCGCGCCUGAUUAGCUAGUUGGUGGGGUAAUGGCUCACCAAGGCAACGAUCAGUAUCCGGCCUGAGAGGUCGGACGGACACACUGGGACUGAGACACGGCCCAGACUCCUACGGGAGGCUGCAGUGGGGAAUUGUUCGCAAUGGGCGAAAGCCUGACGACGCAACGCCGUGUGGAGGAUGAAGACCUUCGGGUCGUAAACUCCUUUCGAUCGAGACGAAUGGCCUUCGGGUGAAUACCUCGGAGGAAUGACGGUACCGAGAGAAGAAGCUCCGGCUAACUCCGUGCCAGCAGCCGCGGUAAU